AGCGAACGCUGGCGGCAGGCCUAACACAUGCCAGUCGAACGGAUCCUUCGGGAUUAGUGGCGGACGGGUGAGUAACACGUGGGAACGUGUCCUUUGGUUCGGAACAACUCAGGGAAACUUGAGCUAACACCGGAUGUGCCCUUCGGGGGAAAGAUUUAUCGCCAUUGGAGCGGCCCGCGUCUGAUUAGCUAGUUGGUGGGGUAAAGGCUCACCAAGGCGACGAUCAGUAGCUGGUCUGAGAGGAUGAUCAGCCACAUUGGGACUGAGACACGGCCCAAACUCCUACGGGAGGCAGCAGUGGGGAAUCUUGCGCAAUGGGCGAAAGCCUGACGCAGCCAUGCCGCGUGAAUGAUGAAGGUCUUAGGAUUGUAAAAUUCUUUCACCGGGGACGAUAAUGACGGUACCCGGAGAAGAAGCCCCGGCUAACUUCGUGCCAGCCGCCGCCGUAACAC
rnacentral:rRNA from 1 species